rnacentral:misc_RNA from 1 species
AGGACUACUAGGGUUUCUAAUCCCAGUUUGGGUCUUAGUUAUUCUGUGUUCAGAUGCAUUAAAGCCACUUUCGUAGUUUAUUUUGUAUCAACUGGAGUUUUUUACAACUCACGUGAAUUUUAGCUUUAUUGAGGGGAAUUGAUCUAAAACACUCUUUAUGCCGGUUUCUAUUGACUUGGGUUAAUCGUGUUACCGCGGCUGCUGGCAC